rnacentral:lncRNA from 13 species
GUUGACCAGGAUGGUCUCAAUCUCUUGACCUCGUGAUCCACCCGCCUCAGCCUCCCAAAGUGCUGGGAUUAUAGGCAUGAGCCACAGCACCCGGCCAACAGCAACAUAUUUCUUUAGUUAAUAGGAUUGAAGGCUAAUUGCAUUUAACAUACAGUGUGAUGGAGGCUGGGCACAGUGCCUCACACCUGUAAUCCCAGCACUUUGGGAGGCUGAGGCUGGCCAAUCACUUGAGUUUAGGAGUUUGAGACCAUCCUGGGCAACAUGUUGAAACCCUAUCUCUACAAAAACAUACAAAAAUUAGCCAAGAUUGUACCACUGCACUCCAGCCUGCGUUACAGAGUGAGACCCUGUCUCAAAAAGAAAAAAGGGCCAGCCAUGGUGGCUUAUGCCUGUAAUCCCAGCACUUUGUGAGGCCAGGAGUUCCAGACCAGCCUGGGCAGCACCGUGGAAACUCCUGUCUCUACAAAAAAUACAAAAAAUUAGCCGGGCUUGGUAGCCUAUGCUUGUAGUUCCACCUACUUUGGUGGCUGAGGCAGAAAGAUUGCUUCAGCCCGGGAGGUGGAGGUUGCAGUGAGCUGAGAUCACACCACUGCACUCCAACCAGGGUGACGCAGUUUUGUUUCAUCUCAACAAAACAAAACAAAUACAAUAUGAUGACAUUUUCGAUUUGUAAGGGUACUUCCUGCCCUUCCCUGAGGCUACUUCCUACCCUUCAAGUGCCCUCACUGCCAUACUGACUCCCUCCUCACCAGGCUCCACCCCUUCCUCUCUUGCUUUUUUUUUUAGAUGGAGUCUCCUUCUGUGACCCAGGCUGAAGUGUAAUGGCAAGAUCUCAGCUCACUGCAACCUCCACCUCUCCAGUUCAAGAGAUUCUCCUGCAUCAGUCUCCCCAGUAUCUGGGAUUACAGGUCUUGCUCUGUCUCCCAGGCUGGAGUGCAGUGGAGCUAUCUUGACUCACAUCAGCCUCGACUUCCCGGGCUCAAACGAUUCUCCCACCUCAGCCUCCCGAGUAGCUGGGACCACAGGUGCAUAUCACCACACUCUGGUCAGUUUUGUCAGAGUCUCACUAUAUUGCCCAGACAGAUCUCAAGUGAUCUGCCCACCUUGGCCUCCCAAAGUGUUGGGAUUACGGGCAUGGGCCACUCCCAGCCUCUUCUGGAAUUUAUUUUUGAAUAUGGAAUGGUUCUUGCUUCAAUUUAAAUGAAAAGUCAAAACUAGGAUCAUUUCUCAAAUAAACUAUUGCUCUGUCACUGAAUUGAUUUGUCA